rnacentral:tRNA from 1 species
GGGCGUGUAGCUCAGUUGGUAGAGCGUGUCAUUAGCAUCUUCUACCCUACUUGACAAGGUCUUUGGUUCGAUUCCUAACCCGUCCA